CGGGAAUCCUGAUCUGGCGGUCAUUAUCGUCCGGAUGGACUUAUUGCUUGGACGGCCAGGAAUGAUAGGAUAGGUCAUGGGGAAUUCUUUUUACGGCUAGGAAACUGCGAGAAAUUCCGGGUUUGGAGGUCUGAAAUCGUCUUUUUUUACCUGUCUCAUAAAACUGAUUUUUCUGAGAUCCCUUCUUCUGCGUACUCAACUCUUCUUUGGUUCUUUACAUCAUCUUGAACAAGUGAUUGCAACAUCUGCAUCUUUUUGUUGAUUCGGAUUCAGUAGUACUUGAAGGAUUUGUAGUCCAGCAAAAGUUUAAAUUUGAUGCAGUUGCCACUACCAAGACUACCUCAAUCAUCUCCAGUCUCCACCAACAAAACAGAUGAUAUACAGAUGAUCGUUGGAAAAGAAUCAUUGGUCUCUACAGAGGUUAUUGGUUUAUUGACCUGCCCUGUGAAUGCCCAGUCAAUGACCAAACCUAAUGGCCAGGAGUGCAUGCUGCAUGAAAAGAUAAUCCAGAACCUCUGCUCAUACUCUGGUAGAGCUACAACGAAGGUGGACGAUUUUUCUUCUUCCCAAAUUAUCAUAGAUCCUUUGUGCUUUAAUUUAGAAGCUUGACAAAUGUGGAAGUUACAAAGAGGCCUAAUUGGAAGGAGUGCCGGAAUUGAGAACUGACAAUCGUGGGCUUGAGGUCUAUGUUUGUGGUGAAUAUAAUUUGCGUGCUUUGUUAGUUUAAGGUUUUGGAUUUCAAGUUCAUGUCUUUUCAGAUUGUAAAUUUGUGAUUCAGAAGUGCUAAUUGGCUAUCUUCUAAUUUGAUACUGUAUUUCUUUAGCUAAGUGUUCAGUACAAUGAACACCAUUUUCUCUCAUUUCAGAGCUUGCAUAUAUGUGCUUAUGAAUUUGGGACCUUCAAAGCCUCAUAACUCCUGGAAAUGUGUAGAUGUUGCUGAGUGUUAUGGUGUCGGUAAUUGGCCAAUCGGAUUUAGGGCGUCACUAUGUCUGCUCUUUGGUGAUAACAAAUCCCUUCAUAAUCAAGGGUGUAAAUUUUUGAUUUUCUUCGGAUCCGCGGGAGUAAUUCGGGGCCGUUGAUUCUGUUUUUGCUCGAGGUAACCAAUCAAUGAAGCCAAUUUAUACCCUUGCAUAGCUUUGUCGGAUUUUGAUACACAGUUGAGUUGUUUGUUGGUUUUGUAUAUGGUGGUGACGUUGUAUCUGGAUAGAAGAGUGUUGUAUUGGUCAACUUAUGUGCUUCAUUCAAGGCUGGGAAGAACGAACAUGGAUGGAUGAUUUAAGGUGCUCGCAUUCAUUGGUUUACUUGCCCCGACUUUGGCUACGACAAUUCUUAAGAAGAACGAAAGCUCUAGCAAAGAUUAAUUUUAAGAAAAGAAAGGCAACCAUUUUCCUGAGGAAUAAUGUGUUGAAACAAAAUCAUCCUAGAUCAUGAGGCGCUGACCCAUGUCAAUCCAAAUGUCACUUAGCUCAUUGUCGUCGGAUCAGUGAAGUCCAUGCCUGCAAUCUUAUGCUUAUUGUCAGAAGUCAGAACCCGAUGAGAUACAGUCAUGUAUUGCCAUUGAACGCUAGCAUCUCAGAUAAUGCAUGGCUUAGGGCUGCCAGUGAGUUGGAAUUGUAUGGAGCAGUCUAGCGUUGAUAAUUCAAAUCGCACAUGAAAGGUAACGUCUGUAUGACUACGAAAGAGGUGAUAGAAGAAUGCAAGUUUUUCUGUUUCGCUGGCCAAGAUACAACCUCAGAUUGUAUUACAUGGAACAUUAUAGUCUUGAGCAUGCAUCAAGAUUGGCAAGAUAAGGCCAGAGAAGAGGUCAUAAGAAUCUGUGGGAAAAACCCACCUCAGUUUGAAAGUCUUGCCGAUCUAAAGACUGUAACCAUGAUCCUAUAUGAAGUUCACAGGUUACAUCCACCUGUGAUCCAACAACAUGGGUGUACAUACAAAAAAAGUGCAGAUUAGAGAUCUCAACCUUCCUGCUGGGGUCGAGAUUAUACUACCAACACUUACUAUUCAUCAUCAUCCUGAACUAUGGGGUGAAGAUGUACAAGAGUUCAUACCAGAGAUUCUGUAAGGGGAAUAUCCAAAGCGGCUAGAAUGCCAUCUUAGCUUCAGCAAUGGCGAAGUUUUGCCCUAUACAGAUCCUUGGUCCCCAUCCAAACGGAAAGAACGCUACUGGGCACCACCUCUAUCUAUUUACUGAUAUGCAUAUAAAGAUUCUGAUCAGGAGCAUUAUGAGGAUCAGACUUCAUCGUCGUUUCACCAUCCCUGUAAAUAUUCAGAUCUUCCUCUUUUUUGUAACUUCAGGAUCAUGGAGCUAUUUUUGGAUAUUGGACUUCUUUCCUAGAAUUCAAACACGAUUGAUUCCGGUUCUAAUUCAACUCUCUCUCAAGUAUUUUAAAAUUGUAGAAGUAGGUUCUCUAUAUUGAUAAAAUUAAUUUGUGAAUCGUCGAAUAUGUCCACAACCUCCAGAAGAUCAGACACGUAGGAAAUUUUAGAGGUAUUUAAGCCCUGUGAUUAUUAACAUUCCCCACCUUGGUUAUUUUUUUGAAUAUUUUCCAUUGUAAGGUAUAGUUGUGAUUCCUUCACAUGUUACUGUUAGAGACUUAUGAUUAAAUUAGAAUGGGAGACAGACUGAAAACUGUGCGUAUAUAUGUACAUUUUAACAAUAUUGAAUAUAAAGAGAUCACUAUAUAUGCUCAUGUUUUCUUAAUGGAGAAGACCAGUGUAUGGAAGUUCGUUGAAUUUCAAAUGUACGUAUUAACUCUUUCAUUACUAAGCACUAGCACCUUUGACCAUUUAACUCACAAGUAUGGUUUGGGUAAACAAUUUUGUUGUUCUGUAAUCAUCAUAAUGUACAGAAAAGGUUGGUUUGCAUAAAGCAUUUGGGGAGAAUGGGAUCUGAGGGUAUAGCUUUACUAGCAAAGUUGCUGGGGUUUUAAUCCAUAUAGGCCUUCCUAACUAUAAUAAUAAUCCCAGUUGUACCACUACCUGUAGAAGCUGACUAAUGCUACGUUAUUUUACAAUCUAUGAUGGGAAUUUUCCUAAUGUCAGUUCCCCAAUUCUUUGUUCGUAUUUAGAGGACUUUUACAAAAUUAUUUGUUGGGUUUAUUAAUCAAUCAGUGAUUACCCCUGGUUGUGAUGAAAGAGUUAGUUUUUAUGUUUGGUAACUACUUCUGUUUACUUGAUUGGUGUAGGAUAUAUUAUUUGUGCCAGGGGCGGAUAGGGAGCACAGAUAUUGCAUUACCCCUGGUUGUGAUGAAAGAGUUAGCUUUAUGUUUGGGCUAUGCAAGUGUUGGGAAAUGAUGGUCCAGAUAACCAUAUGGAUGCAGCUAAUAUAUUCCAGCCCUUGCAUCACGUUGAUGGGUAGGAUACUGUGGAAUCCUGAGUUGGUUUCAGGGAUAGCUGUAUCGGUAAUGUUGUUGUGUGAAGGAAGCAACAGCAGCUAGGAAUCUAAUAAACUAUUUGAAUCAAAGAUGCAGUCAUCCAUGUCCCAGUAAUCCUUGAGUUUAUCUUUUGACAUCGUAUUCGGAUAUACAUGGCAAAGCACCAAAACGUCGACUCUCAUCACACCAGAACAACAUGAGUUACAGAUAGCAGAAGUUAUUAAACAAAGGUGAAUAUAUUCAUGUCUAUUUAAGGGUUAGUCCCACCAGUUUUCUUACAGAUUCAUUCCAUUUUCAGUUCCUUGAUAUGGUUUUCUACUUUAAGUAGUACCCAUGCUACGAUUCCUUGAUAUGUUACUAUAAUAACGAAAUUAUUAAACAACGUUUUUGUAUAUAUUUUCUUUUUUCUGGCUACCAAAAGAAAUGAUAAAGGUUUUUUGCA